rnacentral:tRNA from 1 species
GUCCAGGGUAGCCUAGGGGACAUGGCAUCUGCCCGGUAAAAGGAACACUGUUGGUUCGAUUCCCAUCCCGGGACA